UCCGUAGGCGGUGUGGCAAGUCGGUAGUGAAAUCUCUCGACUUAACUGAGAGGCUGCUGCCGAAACUGCCAUGCUCGAGUGCGAGAGAGGCGAGUGGAAUUGCGGGUGUAGCGGUGAAAUGCGUAGAUAUCCGCAGGAACAUCCGAGGCGAAAGCGGCUCGCUGGAUCGCAACUGACGCUGAGGGACGAAAGCUAGGGGAGCAAACAGGAUUAGAUACCCUGGUAGUCCUAGCCCUAAACCAUCAGGACUUGGGGUUUGCCCUGUACGGGGCAAGUCCCGGAGCUAACGCGUUAAGUCCUGCGCCUGGGGAGUACGGUCGCAAGGCUGAA
rnacentral:rRNA from 1 species